UGGCUUAGAGGGUAAAGCAUCUGCCUGCAAUGCAGGAGACCCAGGUUUGAUCCCUGG
rnacentral:tRNA from 1 species